CCUACGGGAGGCAGCAGUGGGGAAUAUUGCACAAUGGGGGGAACCCUGAUGCAGCGACGCCGCGUGAGUGAAGAAGUAUUUCGGUAUGUAAAGCUCUAUCAGCAGGGAAGAAAAUGACGGUACCUGACUAAGAAGCCCCGGCUAACUACGUGCCAGCAGCCGCGGUAAUACGUAGGGGGCAAGCGUUAUCCGGAUUUACUGGGUGUAAAGGGAGCGCAGACGGCUGUGCAAGUCUGGAGUGAAAGGCGGUGGCCCAACCCCCGGACUGCUCUGGAAACUGUAAAGCGGGAGUGCAGGAGAGGUAAGCGGAAUUCCUAGUGUAGCGGUGAAAUGCGUAGAUAUUAGGAGGAACACCAGUGGCGAAGGCGGCUUACUGGACUGCAACUGACGUUGAGGCUCGAAAGCGUGGGGAGCAAACAGGAUUAGAUACCCUUGUAGUC
rnacentral:rRNA from 1 species